rnacentral:rRNA from 1 species
AUUGAACGCUGGCGGCAGGCUUAACACAUGCAAGUCGAGCGAGAGGCGGACGGGUGAGCAAUGUCUUGGAAACUGCCUGAUGGAGGGGGAUAACUACUGGAAACGGUAGCUAAUACCGCAUACCAUCAGAUGUGCCCAGAUGGGAUUAGCUAGUAGGUGGGGUAAUGGCUCACCUAGGAGACGAUCCCUAGCUGGUCUGAGAGGAUGACCAUCCACACUGGAACUGAGACACGGUCCAGACUCCUACGGGAGGCAGCAGUGGGGAAUAUUGGACAAUGGGCGAAAGCCUGAUGCAGCCACGCCGCGUGUGUGAAGAAGGCCUUCGGGUUGUAAAGCACUUUCGGCGAGGAGGCGUUACUCACAGAAGAAGCAACGGCUAACUACGUGCCAGCCGCCGCGGUAAUAC